rnacentral:rRNA from 1 species
UACGAAGGGUGCAAACGUUGCUCGGAAUUAUUGGGCGUAAAGCGCACGUAGGCGGCUUUGCAAGUCCCAUGUGAAAGCCCACGGCUUAACCGUGGAAGUGCAUGGGAAACUGCAGAGCUUGAGUACUUAAGAGGAUCGCGGAAUUCCCGGUGUAGAGGUGAAAUUCGUAGAUAUCGGGAAGGAACACCAGUGGCGAAGGCGGCGAUCUGGGAAGAUACUGACGCUGAGGUGCGAAAGCGUGGGGAGCAACAGGG